AGUGUGAGAAUGUGCAUGUAAUCUACGCCUGUGCAGCAUAUCCAGGCAUGCCAGCUUCAACUCACUUCAUCAUGAGAGACCAAAAAUAAACAUAAUGAAAUAGAGGACAUUCUCGAGCCUCAAAAAAUUGAACUAUCUUAAAAGUUUACUUUUGGGAAAUGUGAGUCACAAAAAGUAAAACAAUGUACUCAAGAUCACACCACUGAGAAGUGUGUUAGGUGAGACAUCUUGAAGCUCUUCCUUCUCAUGCUGGAAAAGCUGUCAGAAAGUUCAAGUCCUCCUCUUGACAUAGUACAUGCCUAUUUGCUCAUUGAGAUAGGCUAACCUUUUCAAGCAAUGUGCGGCACCCCUUAGCUUCAAUAAAGUGUUCAAUGUAAGAAGAAUAUGCUCUGUAUCCAUAAUAAAAUCACCACAAAUCAAAUAAAUGACCAAGUUGCA
rnacentral:lncRNA from 1 species